UUUCCCUUUUCUUUCUCUUUUCUUUCCCUUUCUCACGCACGCAUAGCAGCCCCUCACCCUUUCUUUUCUCUUCUUUCUUCUUCCUCUUCUCUUCCUCUUUCCCAUGUACUGCCUUCCCUUCCCUUUCCUCUUUUCUUCUGCUCACACACCACAAGAGAUUGAGAGGGAGAGAGACUGUGACAGAGAUGAUCAGGAGAUUGGGAGAGGCUAAGACCCUGGGAGAAGAACCCAUGAGGAAACCCGUGACCCGUGAGGUGUGAGAGAGAAAUUGGGACCGGAGGGCCGAUCCUCCAACGGUGCAGCGGCGAGUUGAAGUAGAAGGCAUCGGUGGGUCAUCUGAGGGCAUGAAAUCCAGCGAAGCAGAGGCGUUUUUCGGUGGGCUGAGCUAGUUUGUCCGGUGAUCCACUCUUUAGCCGACCUCACCGAUUUUACGGUGGAUUUUUGAGAAAAUCCUCCAGGUAUUCUGGUCGUAGUGGAUGGUGUUGUAGAAGUGUACUUGGGAUAUUAUGACUAAAACUCGCUGCGACGAUCAUAAUUAUGGUACUAUGGGCGGCCUCUAUUUUAUAGGUUUGGUAUAUGUCUUGUGACGCUUGUGUCACAUAUUAUUUGUAAAGCCAUUCUUUGAUGCAAUUAUUAUUUGGAUAAGCCUUAAACAUAUAGACAUUAUGGCUCUUUUGUAUAAAUAUCAGUUUAUGUUUAUAGAUGUGACUUCUGUUGUUUA